UUUUUUCCACAGGAUGAGCUUCCUCUUGCAUAUCUUUUUUUUCCACAGGAUGCCAAUGAAUCCUAUCCUACAAUCAUAGAAAGAUGCAGAUUCAUCUAGACAGCUUUUGAUUUCCUCCCUAGCAGUAGUUUUGAGGUCCUCUGUGUAGCCAUCGCCCCGCCAGAACUGCGUUUGGUGAUUCAGCCUGCUCCCAUUCUGUCAGUCCGUGCGCAUUGGACAGACUUGCCGUCCAUCUCUGAUAUUUGCAGUAGUGGAAGCUGCUGGCUACCCUGGAGAGCUAAAGAAAAAACAGAGCUUUUGAGAAGAAUCCUUGUAAAGAAACUGCCUAGAAUGCCCAUGCCACUACUCAGAGAAGCCUGCCCUCUUACUUGCUUUCUUCCCUUCUUUCCCUGUCUGAAUGGAAGCAUAUUUCCAUAGUGCCUGAUUAAGGUAAGGUUUACAUUUGC
rnacentral:lncRNA from 1 species